rnacentral:misc_RNA from 1 species
CAGAGUUCAUGCCCUUCGGGGUAGAUCUCCCACCCUUGUGUAUCAUUAUAGAAUGUUGCUUUGGCGGGCCGCGCCUUGUGCGCCUGGAUUCGCGUCCAGCGUGCCCGCCAGAGGACCCCAAACUCUGAAUGUUAGUGUCGUCUGAGUACUAUACAAUAGUUA